AACGCACAUUGCGCCCAUCAGUAUUCUGGUGGGCAUGCCUGUUCGAGCGUCAUUUCAACCCUUAAGCCCUUGUUGCUUAGCGUUGGGAGCCUACGGGGGCACAUGUCCCCCGCAGCUCCCCAAAGACAGUGGCGGAGUCAGUCCUGCACUCCAGACGUAGUAGAUCUCAUCUCGUCUGCGGUCAUGCUGGUGCCCUGCCAUGAAAGCCCUAAUUUCUCAAGGUUGACCUCGGAUCAGGUAGGAAUACCCGCUGAACUUAA
rnacentral:misc_RNA from 1 species